AUUAUGUUUCACAAACCUAAACAAUGGCUGUUCCUUUGCUGACAAAGAAGAUUGUUAAGAAGCGUGUGAAGCAGUUCAAGGGCCCACAAAGUGACAGGAGGAUUUCUGUCAAGGUUUAAUGCACAAAUAACACAGGCUGAAAGAAUUGUUGAUAGGUAAAGGGCUAGCUCAGUCUUGGUCUCGGAAAGAGGAGAGCUAUUAGCAAGAAUAAGCAACACCAAUAUAGAACUGCAGCGUUGGAUGUGUGG